rnacentral:rRNA from 1 species
AUUGAACGCUGGCGGAAUGCUUUACACAUGCAAGUCGAACGGCAGCACGGGAGCUUGCUCCUGGUGGCGAGUGGCGAACGGGUGAGUUGCACAUCGGAACAUGCCUAGUCGUGGGGGAUACCGUAGCGAAAGUUACGUUAAUACCGCAUACGUCCUGAGGGAGAAAGCAGGGGAUUCGCAAGAACCUUGCGCGAUUAGAGUGGCCGAUGCCUGAUUAGCUUGUUGGUGGGGUAAAGGCCUACCAAGGCGACGAUCAGUAGCGGGUCUGAGAGGAUGAUCCGCCACACUGGAACUGAGACACGGUCCAGACUCCUACGGGAGGCAGCAGUGGGGAAUUUUGGACAAUGGGGGCAACCCUGAUCCAGCCAUUCCGCGUGAGUGAAGAAGGCCCUCGGGUUGUAAAGCUCUUUCAGCGGGAACGAAACGGUACGCUCUAACAUAGUGUGCUAAUGACGGUACCCGCAGAAGAAGCACCGGCUAACUACGUGCCAGCAGCCGCGGUAAUACGUAGGGUGCGAGCGUUAAUCGGAAUUACUGGGCGUAAAGCGUGCGCAGGCGGAUUGUUAAGCAAGAUGUGAAAUCCCCGGGCUUAACCUGGGAAUGGCAUUUUGAACUGGCAAUCUAGAGUGUGUCAGAGGGGGUAGAAUUCCACGUGUAGCAGUGAAAUGCGUAGAGAUGUGGAGGAAUACCGAUGGCGAAGGCAGCCCCCUGGGAUACACUGACGCUCAUGUACGAAAGCGUGGGUAGCAAACAGGAUUAGAUACCCUGGUAGUCCACGCCCUAACGAUGUCACUGGUGUUGG